AGACCCGAAACCCGGUGAUCUAGCCAUGGGCAGGUUGAAGGUUGGGUAACACUAACUGGAGGACCGAACCGACUAAUGUUGAAAAAUUAGCGGAUGACCUGUGGCUGGGGGUGAAAGGCCAAUCAAACCGGGAGAUAGCUGGUUCUCCCCGAAAGCUAUUUAGGUAGCGCCUCGUGAAUUCAUCUCCGGGGGUAGAGCACUGUUUCGGCUAGGGGGCCAUCCCGGCUUACCAACCCGAUGCAAACUGCGAAUACCGGAGAAUGUUAUCACGGGAGACACACGGCGGGUGCUAACGUCCGUCGUGAAGAGGGAAACAACCCAGACCGCCAGCUAAGGUCCCAAAGUCAUGGUUAAGUGGGAAACGAUGUGGGAAGGCCCAGACAGCCAGGAUGUUGGCUUAGAAGCAGCCAUCAUUUAAAGAAAGCGUAAUAGCUCACUGGUCGAGUCGGCCUGCGCGGAAGAUGUAACGGGGCUAAACCAUGCACCGAAGCUGCGGCAGCGACACUGUGUGUUGUUGGGUAGGGGAGCGUUCUGUAAGCCUGUGAAGGUGGCCUGUGAGGGUUGCUGGAGGUAUCAGAAGUGCGAAUGCUGACAUAAGUAACGAUAAAGCGGGUGAAAAGCCCGCUCGCCGGAAGACCAAGGGUUCCUGUCCAACGUUAAUCGGGGCAGGGUGAGUCGACCCCUAAGGCGAGGCCGAAAGGCGUAGUCGAUGGGAAACGGGUUAAUAUUCCCGUACUUGGUGUUACUGCGAAGGGGGGACGGAGAAGGCUAUGUUGGCCGGGCGACGGUUGUCCCGGUUUAAGCGUGUAGGUGUGUGUUCCAGGUAAAUCCGGUUCACUUUAACACUG
rnacentral:rRNA from 1 species